CUGGGCCUUGAUUGGGCGCGACCUGGACUCCUGGGUGCUUAUUGGUGGCGCCAAGUGCUCGUCACUGCCACCUCCCGCCCUUGCAUGCAACGGCGCGGAGUCCGCCUGCUAGCAAGGUAGGGGAUCUCUGAAGGAAUUGCUGAUGGAAGUCCAGCAGGCCUAACUUGAAGAACACACCUUGUUUAUCUGGUCACAUUCAGUGAGACCUGAAAGAAGUUUCACAGGCCUGAUUCAAGGUGACUGCUCAGAGACCACCCAUUGAAUUCAGGAUCCGAGGUCACCCCUCCGCACUCUGUGGCACAGCGAGCAGGAUCAUCUGUUCUGGAAGCUGCAGAGAAAGGGAACCUGGAAACCUAGUAUGCUGACAGAAAGGGUAUCCAAGGUGGAGUUUCUAGCAAGCCCCAGGAGGACAAUCACAAUAUAGGUCUACAGGGUUCUGGAGCAAGACCAUACUAUCCGCAGCAGGGAAUUAGACACCUUUUGAAAAGUAGCUCCUGGAGGGCUACUAGACCCUGGCAGAGACGGAAUACUUCACCAACGGGCACCAAGUGACCACGUGUCUAGAACCGUUCGUUAUUCGUUAGGUUCUGCCUUUCAGACUCACCAAGACAUAAAGUCAAAUGGGCUUAGCAAUAAUCCAUAGUAAGAUGGAAAUGGUAUGUCCAGAACUGGGCAUGAACAGAGCUACACAGUCAGGUGGCCCAGACACAUGUCACCUGCCAUUGUGGCACCAGGGUUUCUCCCUCAGCUCACGCCUGUGGCUGCACAGGGGGCAAAGUCCCUUGUGAUCCGCUGACAGAAGAGGAAAGGCUUUGCUUUGUCUUGAUUCACAGACGGGUCAGACUGGUACGUGGGUGCAAGCCAAAAAUGAACUGUGACUACAGUACAGCCCACCACAGGCUGCUCUUGACAAACAGUGGCAAGGGAAGUUCCCCCAGUGGAUUAAUCCUCUCAGUGGUACAUGUGUUCGUCUGCUUUGUACGGAAAGACAUGUAGCCAAGGGUACACUUUGUAUUCAUUCAUGGCUACUAGCAGCUGCCUUGAUGUGUGGAUCAGGGGUCUGGAAGGAGAAGGAUGAGAUGAUCACGGACAAGGAUGUUGGGGACAGAGGCAUGUGGAUGGACUAUUUGAGUAGCUGAGAAGUGUGAAGAGGACCACCAGAGAGCAUCUACCAUGAAAGAAGCACCAAACAACCAGAUAGACAGAAUGGUUUCGCCAAUUGGAUGUCACAGAUGCCAUCAGCCACCCCAGAACUGACACAGUGGCUACAGAAGGAGCAGCUAUGGUGGCAGGGAUGGGGACAAACACACGGACCAAAUAGCAUGGGCUGUCACUCACAAGGGCUGAUGUAGCUACCGCCACUGCUGAAUGUCCAGCCUGCCAGCAAGGCAUCAGUGCUGAUCCUCGGAAAUGGCAAUGGCUCUCAAAGUGAAUAAGUAGCCACUUGAUAGUAAGUUGACUACAGUGGAUCCCUUCCAUUCUAGAAAUGGCAGAAAUUUAUUUUGACUAGAAUGGACACAUGCUUACCUUUUCUGCCGGCAGGGCCUCAGCCAACACCACUAUCUGAGGGCUUACUGAGUGUUUUACCCGCUGACAUAGGAUCCCACAUCACAUCACAUCGGACCCAAGGACCCAUUCAUUGCAUAGCCAAGGAGGCAUGACAACGGCAUGUGACCAUGGGAUCACCGGUCCUGUCACAUUCUGCACCACCCAGAAGAUACUGGCGUGAACGAAGAGAAGAAAUGGGCUGUUGAAGGCAUAGCUGAGAUGCCAGCUCAGAGAUGAUGAUACCAAGUGCGGAACCUGAGAGCAGCCCCAGUACACUCCCUGCCUGCAAAUCUCCAUCUCAAAGUCAGCCUCCAGGGAGCCCGCCCUGAAACAGAGUCUGUCGUGAGCUCUACAGAGUAUCCCUGUGCAGACAACCAGCGCUGGGCGUUAAAGCAGGGCUCUCUCCACCUGCACGGCGCUGGGGCUCUGCACACCCCUCUGCAGCCAUCCUCGCUGGUGUCCCUUAGCUGACACCCUUGCCCUCUCUGUGUCCUUCCUCAUGGCCUGCAGGUUUCAGAUCCCAAGCUACAGAUCGUGUCUUCUAGUUUGGGCUCUGGCAGAGAGUUCGGAAGCACCUGUUCGUUAUCUUAGCCGCAGCACGUGUGGAAAUCAUUUCUCAUGACCGCGGAGGGCAGGCAUUGUGCAGAGGGUUACGUGGGCCUGCUCGACGUUGGUGGUUGUUAACUCUCAUGUCUAUGCCUUGGUCCCUUUGCCUGCAGGACUUGGGGAGCAAGCUGUUUGAAUCUGAUGCAACCCCUGGGCUUCGACUAUCAUGCCAAAAGGCAGCAAAUAAGUGCCUUUUCUUCCCUUCAGAAUGCAUGGACAAUCCAAAGCUCUAUUAGUCUAUUAUUCAGAAUGAAAAGUGUUUACAAUAUUCAUCCUCUUACUCCUCAGUAUGUGAGACUGUUCCUCAUAGCAGGUAAUUUCUUCCUAAUUCAAAAACUCCUCAUGGAAGCAUCUGUUUUUGUCAUCAAGGAGGGGCUGUAUGUGGAAUUGCAAGGCCAAAGACACCGCGGCUCAACUCUUCUCAGGACCAGAUCCAAGUCGCCAGUGAGAACACACGUUCAGGCAGCCGCCACCAGCGCCCCGCCUCAGGAACGAGGCUCUCUGCUUCAUGUGGGCAAGAGUUGCCCCUGUUUUCCCAGCAGGCAGUCGGGGGUCUGGAGCCUAGGGAGCAACGUGAAACAUACACUCCUGCUUCCUUCCUUCCCUGCACUUGAGACAGGAGUCUUACUUUGUUGCCCAGGCUGGUCUCAAACUCCUGGCUUCAAACAAUCCUUCUGCCUCGGCCUUCCAAAGUGCUGGGAUUACAGGCAUGAGCCACCGUGCCCAGCCUCCUUCCCUUACUAGCUGAGAACUAAGAGAAGACACUGGAGACAGAGGAGGAAAUAAUGGCGACGCCACGCGAUGAAUACAUCAUGGAGGAUGAAGACAAGGCUCCGUCAGGGGCACCAGCGAGGGAAGCCCAGUUCUGUGGGGAAGGUAUGGGGCGGCUUCACAAGCCCAGUGUCUGCUCUCUUUGUGGGAGAUGUGUUGUUUUGGCAUCCAUUCCCCCUUCUUUUAGGAAAAGUGCUUGAAUUUCCUUUUUAGGAACCACCCACCAUCCUCUCAUCCAUGCAUUCUGUUCCUGGCAUCAGGGGUAGACAAGUGACUGCAGGCCUGGCCAGUUAGGGUUCUGACUCCUGGUCAAAUCGGAGUGAAUCCUGAGUCAUUUGUAAACUCCAAGGAAAGGGCUUGCUUUGUUUUCUGUUGAAUGCAGUGCUGUGAGAUAACCGGAAAUGAAGCUGCUUUCUUGCCACAGUGAAGGCAACAAAAGGGCCUGGCCGGCAAAUGAUGCCAGUGAUCGGGGUGGAGCUGGAAGAGGGGGAGCGAGGAGGCCCAGACAUCUUGGGGGCCCCAAAUUCACCUCAGGAUUUAACUUCUCUGCUGCUCAGCCAAUUAACUCCUUUCUUCCAUGAC